UUAUUAAUAAGAUAUAAAAACAUAUUUGAAAAUUAUUUGAAUUAUAGGUGCAGUUGAUAGAAAUUGAAUAAUGUUGAAUUUGGCAUUAUAUAAUAAGAUAGUGAGUGAUCUUUUUAAAAAUAUUAAACGUAGAAAAUAUAUUAUAUAAACUUAGAAGUUUUGUAAAAUUAUGAAGAGUAAAUCGGAAGCUUAGAAAAUACUGAAAAUAAAUUAAAUGUUUUGCUCUGGCCAGAAAAUUGAACGGUUCAAAAUAUGAACAUUCGUUUCAUGUAAGUGUCCUUGUUUUUUUUACUUUUAACAUAACUAUGAAAAGUGUUUUAAUAGAAACAUAUUUCUUAUACGAAAAUGAUUAAAAAUGAAGUUAACUCAAAUCACUUUUUUUUAAAAAAGCAUUUUCCAGGAAGGUGUGUGCAUUAAGUAAAUUAUUUUAUUUAUUUGUUCGCAGAUUAAUGCGAAAGCUUUUUUCCCAUGAUUGAUCAGUUCCCUUUCAAAGCCAAACCUCCAAGUCUUUUAUAACUCGUCCCCCAGUGGGUCAGCGGUAAGUUAGCUGACUUACAACGCUAAAAUCCUAAAUUCGAUUCAUUGUUUUGGACAGCCUAUUGUGUAGCUUUGUGCUAAAACAAACAAAUAAGCUUUUAUAACUUACUUCUGUAUUACGAAAGUUAAUUACAAAUCUACACAAUGUUCUUCAACAGAGGUUUUGUUUGGAAACUGGUUUUUCAGAAGUUUAGCCAUUGUAAAAGGUAACAAGUAAACUUAGGUGGUGAAUGUUUCUGUACUUAAAGUUUUUUUCUCAUUAUAGCUCAGAAGAAAAAAUGUCGAUCUGCUUAUCUUUCGCUCUUUGGUUUUGUGUUAAUAACUUCUGAUGGAUUAUUGUCUUAUAUAAGGUUUUGUAGUGUUAAAAUAACCUAUAGGCACCACAAUAAUGUUUUAUUAACAGCCCAAGUUGUAAAGUUAACGUUUCCUCUAGAUGUUUAAGUGUUUGUUGGUUACGGAACCUUUUCCUUCUUGCUGUACGUCGAAGAAACGAUAGCCCAUUGUUUAGGUGCUUAUUGAACAGUUCGGUGCAUUCCCAUGUAAACUAUCUUCAAAUAAAAGGCCUCAACA